rnacentral:rRNA from 1 species
UUCAACAACGGAUCUCUUGGUUCUGGCAUCGAUGAAGAACGCAGCGAAAUGCGAUAAGUAAUGUGAAUUGCAGAAUUCAGUGAAUCAUCGAAUCUUUGAACGCACAUUGCGCCCGUCAAUAUUCUGGCGGGCAUGCCUGUUCGAGCGUCAUUACGCCC